rnacentral:rRNA from 1 species
UACGUAGGUGGCAAGCGUUGUCCGGAUUUAUUGGGUUUAAAGGGUGCGUAGGCGGUUUUUUAAGUCAGUGGUGAAAUCCGGCAGCUCAACUGUCGAGGUGCCAUUGAUACUGGGAAACUUGAGUACUGAUGAGGUAGGCGGAAUGGACGGUGUAGCGGUGAAAUGCUUAGAGAUCGUCCAGAACACCGAUAGCGAAGGCAGCUUACUAAAGAGUAACUGACGCUGAGGCACGAAAGUGUGGGGAUCAAACAGG